UAGGCGUAAAUGAUGCGAGUUAAGUGUGGGGGCAUCUACGAGAUGGCCCUGUGCUGUAGGGUAGCCGUUAAACUCGCUGCCUGGGGAGUACGGUCGCAAGGCUGAAACUUAAAGGAAUUGGCGGGGGAGCACCGCAACGGGAGGAGCGUGCGGUUCAAUUGGAUUCAACGCCGGACAACUCACCAGGAGCGAUGGUUACAUGAAGGCCAGGCUGAUGACCUUGCCUGAUUUUCCGAGAGGAGGUGCAUGGCGUAGUCGUGU
rnacentral:rRNA from 1 species